GCGAAUAUAGAUAAAUUGGUAAAGUCACUAAUCUUCCACAUUAGUUAAUUACGGGUUCGAGUCCCGUUAUUCGCUUA
rnacentral:tRNA from 1 species